GUAGGUGGCAAGCGUUGUCCGGAAUUAUUGGGCGUAAAGCGCGCGCAGGGUGGUUCUUUAAGUCUGAUGUGAAAGCCCCCGGGCUCAACCGGGGAGGGUCAUUGGAAACUGGGGAACUUGAGUGCAGGAGAGGAAAGUGGAAUUCCACGUGUAGCGGUGAAAUGCGUAGAUAUGUGGAGGAACACCAGUGGCGAAGGCGACUUUCUGGCCUGUAACUGACACUGAGGCGCGAAAGCGUGGGGAGCAAACGGGAUUAGAUACCCUGGUAGUCCACGCCGUAAACGAUGAGUGCUAAGUGUUGGGGGGUUCCCGCCCCUCAGUGCUGCAGCUAACGCAUUAAGCACUCCGCCUGGGGAGUACGGUCGCAAGACUG
rnacentral:rRNA from 1 species